ACUGUUGAGACAACCAAGCCACCAAGCUGUUGACUUCAUCUCCUCCAUAGCUGAUUCAUGGGUUCUUACACCAGUCCUUUGUGGCAACAAUAUCUGGACUUCAAGGGAAAAUGUCUUCCACAGAGAAGCCCAGAUUUAUGGAUUCAUGUAGGCUUACAAGGAUCUCCUAAGAGUCACUAGAUAAGAUGCAGGAAGGCUACACUUGCAUCAAAGGUUCAGCUGGCUGUGCUGGCUACCAGGAGGAGCUACAGAGAGGUACCAGGAGGUGACUUUCUCUACAGCUAACAGUUUUAACAUUCCAAAAAGUGGGCUUAAAUACUCAUCAUAGUUCUACAAAACAGAUGAAGAUACAAUUCCCUCAAAAACCCUGUGAAAUAAAUUAGGAUUUAGGAUUUUGAAUCUGAAAGAGUAAGAAUACAGCAACUUACACCUUAUGUUCCUGGGCUGUGGCUACUGAUAAUCUGGAAGGACACAGGUGUGAACACAGAUAUAUGAUUGCCCACACGAUGCACUUUUAGCACAGGAGCACCUCCGAUGUUCAUCCCUGGCAAAUCCCCCAUAUUUAACAGCGUUUUCCAAGCAGCUGCAAAGAGGUUCCUCUCCUAUGCAACAGGAUGCAUUUUGGAAGUGCAGCACUUAAUCAUGGGCUUGUCUUUCUAUUACUUCCAGACAAAUAG